rnacentral:lncRNA from 1 species
CCAUCCCAAAGAAACCAAACUUGAAAGGAUGUCACGAAGCAUGCAGCAUAUCUGUCCUGUUUAAGGUAAAAUUCACCCUGGGCCCUCGCCCCUGACCUCCACCAGGUGACUUUUCAUGGAGACAUUCUCACUGCCAGCAAUCCUUCAACUCUUUCCACAGAAGUCUGCCAGGAAGAGAAAUGUCCAAAGUCCAUUUUGAGCUCUCAGCCUGGGAUUUAGCUGCAAUUUUUCAUGGACACUGGGCAAUUACUGGCAUACGAAGCCAAGGAGAAGCAAGAGAGGGAAGGCCCUGCUUCUCUAGUGAGAUCAUCAUCUUUGCAUCAGUCACUGUUAGAGACAUCUCUGGUUUCUGUUCCCAGCCUAACUGCACAGAAAAGAGAUAUUCUAGCUUCUCCCUAGUUACGCAUAUGUGGAGAAAACUGAAAAAGAUGGGUAAUCAUGGUUGUUGUAAGUACUUGGGGGCUCCAGAAGGUGUCCCUAAGAACUCCAUAAAGAGGGGCUGUUGUUUCUCUGAGAUUUAAACCUUUAGCACAAAAUGGAUCACAGUGCAGCUGCUGGAAGUCAUCCGAAGGAGCUGAAAAUUUUCCAAGCCCACACCCUCAAUUGCAACUUGUUUGAGCAAUUUUAUUAGCAAAUCUAAAGAAAUAAUGCUUUGAUCAGAAAGGAGAGGGUUUACUCAGCAUGGAAGCAGGACAAAAAAAGGGACUCAAAGGCAAAUGUUAGCAGGGACUGCCCAAACCUUGUCCAAAAGAGAAGGAGCUGAAGUCAAUCGACGGGUAAUUUCUAGGCCUCUUGAAAGAUGCAUCUCCAAUACGGUGUCAGAAAUCAUAGAUAUCACAAGUCUGUAAUCAACAGAUUUCAAGGAUUCAGGUCCCCUUUGGGAAGAACAUCCCAUCCUAUCAUGGUGCCACUUAAACACUUAGUUUUCCUGUCUCAAUUCAAUGUUCACCAAACCUUGUCUUCAGGUUGCCUUGUUGCUGCUGAACAUUUGCCAACAGAAAGUAGACAGGAUGCUGACACUGUUGUAGACCAUCUCUGAUAGUGAUUUCUUAUUAAAAAUGUCAAUGCUGUGUUUUGAUCUUAUACAUACAUGCUGUGCUUCUGAGGUGUACCCAUGAAAAGCUGGGCCAAUUCUUACCAGUUGUCACCCUGCUGACAAGUGCAGGGUGCCGAGCCUUUGACUUAGAGCUGAAUGCCAGCCCUGGACAGUGGGAACACAGCAAGCUGGUGCCUGCUAAGGAGGCUUCCCACAGAAAAGCUGCUGCUGCUUCACCUCAGCGUAUACCUUGACACAGUUGCUAUCCUGAAAGCGGUUUUUUCUUACCAUUUUAACUAGUUUUAAGUGACCAGUUGAGCGGCAUUAAGCACAUUCACAUUAUUGUGCAACCGUCACCACCAGCCAUCUCCAGAACUUCCUCCUUCUCCAGAACAUUCUCCCAAAUGGAAACCCUGCACCAUUCAACAACUCCUUGUUGUCCCCUCCCCACAGCUUCUGGUUGCCACCAUUCUACUUCCUCUAUGAACUUGACUAUUCUAGGUACUUUAUAUAAGUGAAACCAUACAAUGUUUGUCCGUUCGUGUGGGGUGUAUUUCAUGUCGCAUAAUGUCUUAUGGUUCAUCAUGUCAUGGCAUGUGUCAGAGUUUCCCUCUGUUUUAAGGUUGAAUAAUACUUUGUUGAAUGUAUAAACCACAUUUUGUUCAUCUAUUUGCUGAUAGACACUUAGAUUAUUUCCACCUUUUCGUUGUUGUGAAUAAUGCUGCUGUGAUAUGGGUAUACAAAUACCUGUUCAAGUCCCUGCUUUCCAUUCUUU